rnacentral:rRNA from 1 species
UACAGAGGCCUCGAGCGUUAGGCGGAAUCACUGGGCUUAAAGCGUGUGUAGGCGGAGUUCUAAGUACCUUGUGAAAUCCCACGGCUCAACCGUGGAACUGCUUGGUAUACUGGUUCUCUUGAGGUACCUAGGGGCGAGCGGAACAAGUGGUGGAGCGGUGAAAUGCGUAGAUAUCACUUGGAACGCCAACGGUGAAAACAGCUCGCUGGGGGUAUCCUGACGCUGAGAGACGAAAGCUAGGGGAGCGAAUGGG